AAAGUGCUUUUCUACUUUCUACACAGACACUAUGGAUUGGCAUCACCCACCAUGUGUGCAACAUUCACACAUGGAAAACAGGAAAAUGCGAACAUGGACAUCUGGAAGAACUGCAUGGAAAGGAGUGGAUCCAGAGAGACUCCAAAUGCCACAAAGCUUUAAUAGACAUUAUUCUCAAUAAGCGUUGGCAGAAGAAUGUUCAUAAAUACCUACGCUUCAGAUCAACUGCUGACCUAGAAGCAUUCCAGAACCAUAUUCUGAUGUAUGCCAGCAAGCGUCAUGCUUUCAGUCCCCCAGUUUAUGAGGCAAGAGUUCUGCUGGCUGCUCUUGACUACAACUUCCAUCGGAACCGACCUACAAUGAAAACAGCCGAAGGCAAAGAGAUCUGCAGGAACGAAUUCUUAAAAGAAGACUUGUGACUGAGGUGGGGAUGCCGCGAAGACGGAGCCUUCGACCAGAUGACCCCAGGAGGCUCGGUUUGGUGCCCCCCAUAACUGCACCUGCCACAUCAGAACUUGUGCCAACACAAGUCAGGAGAGGUCUAGGACCAGUCUUCAGUCCACCUGAUGAUAUGUGAUUCAGACAUCCUGCUUCAUACAACAUGAAAAAAAGUUGUAAUGAACGAGUUCAGAUGUGUACAGAUAUUGCUGGGAAAUAUAUUCCCCUUUUGCACAAGUGAAAAUAUCUAUGUCACUGCAGUAAAUAAAUGAUGCAUAGCUGGU